rnacentral:lncRNA from 1 species
UUCUGACAUCUGUGUAUGAGAAAUUUAAAGCCAGCUAAAGCUGGAUACUGGACUUUUAGCAGCCAGCUCAAAUCCUGCAGGUGUUUGUGACAGGUGGUAUGAUAUGCCUUUCAUCUCAUUUUCUCACUAAAUCAAAGUAUGUUCUGCCUCCAUGCCUUAUAAAGUUAAUUCAGCUAUCAAACAUUUCAGUUACUCAAGACUGAGUUCCUUCCAUUAUUCCUGAUCAUGCUUACUAAUCUCAGGUUUUAUCCUAGAUAACUUCUUUCUUAUUGAUGUCUCACUUGGUUGUAACUCACCUAGUUGUAGUUUGUCUUUUAUUUUAGAAAGAGAAGUACUUAAUUAGCUAAAAUACCAAUACAUGUAGUCAUUAAUAGUGGGGGAAUAGGUUAUAGUCUUUAUUCUUAAGAGCCAAAUGACUACCAGCUGUGGUGUUUAAGUUUUAUGCUGUAUGUUUGUAUAUUUUACAAAUCAUUCAAGAAACUAUAAAUUUAUUUUAAUCUGUAUUAUAUAAUUCAGGAAUUCCCACCAUCAAGUGACAUAAUAAAAAGAGUUAUAGAGUCUUCUUCUUUCUCUUCCUUUCAUAAAAUAACUGUAUCCUGGACUGGUAUCUUGGAAUCUGAGUUUGAAUCCUGAGUGUACCGUUUUCUAGCAUGUAGUCUUAAUGUGGGAGUAGAACGUGCAUGGAUGGACUUCAGAGGCUGUGUAGCCUUUCAGAAAAACGACUCUGGAGAUUUUCCACCAGGCUUAAUGCAGAGGAGUUGAAGUUUUUCCUCACUGCAGCCCUCAAGAGUAUAUUAUUAUACCUUCAAACAAUAACUCUCCA